AUUGAACGCUGGCGGCAUGCUUUACACAUGCAAGUCGAACGGCAGCACGGGGGCAACCCUGGUGGCGAGUGGCGAACGGGUGAGUAAUAUAUCGGAACGUACCCGGAAAUGGGGGAUAACGUAGCGAAAGUUACGCUAAUACCGCAUAUGCCCUAAGGGGGAAAGCGGGGGAUUCGCAAGAACCUCGCGUUUUCGGAGCGGCCGAUAUCGGAUUAGCUAGUAGGUGAGGUAAAGGCUCACCUAGGCGACGAUCCGUAGCUGGUCUGAGAGGACGACCAGCCACACUGGAACUGAGACACGGUCCAGACUCCUACGGGAGGCAGCAGUGGGGAAUUUUGGACAAUGGGCGCAAGCCUGAUCCAGCCAUGCCGCGUGAGUGAAGAAGGCCUUCGGGUUGUAAA
rnacentral:rRNA from 1 species